rnacentral:rRNA from 1 species
UACGAAGGGGGCUAGCGUUGCUCGGAAUCACUGGGCGUAAAGGGUGCGUAGGCGGGUCUUUAAGUCAGGGGUGAAAUCCUGGAGCUCAACUCCAGAACUGCCUUUGAUACUGAGAUCUUGAGUUCGGGAGAGGUGAGUGGAACUGCGAGUGUAGAGGUGAAAUUCGUAGAUAUUCGCAAGAACACCAGUGGCGAAGGCGGCUCACUGGCC